UUCAGCUCGUUGAAAGCAGCAGGA
rnacentral:piRNA from 1 species